rnacentral:rRNA from 1 species
ACGCUCGACACCUACGGAGGCAGCAGUGAGGAAUAUUGGUCAAUGGGCGCUAGCCUGAACCAGCCAAGUAGCGUGAAGGAUGAAGGCUCUAUGGGUCGUAAACUUCUUUUAUAUAAGAAUAAAGUGCAGUAUGUAUACUGUUUUGUAUGUAUUAUAUGAAUAAGGAUCGGCUAACUCCGUGCCCGCAGCCGCGGUAAUCUGAGCGGGCGUGGCAAGGC